CUACGGGGUGCUCCAGUGAGGAAUUUUGCGCAAUGGGGAAACCCUGACGCAGCAACGCCGCGUGAGUGAAGAAGGCCUUUGGGUCGUAAAGCUCUGUCAACUGGGAAGAAAUUAACAUCAAUUAAUAGUUGUCGUUAUUGACGGUACCAGUGGAGGAAGCGCCGGCUAACUCCGUGCCAGCAGCCGCGGUAACACGGGGGGCGCAAGCGUUAUUCGGAAUUAUUGGGCGUAAAGGGCGCGCAGGCGGUUUUGUCGGUCAGGUGUGAAAGCCCGGGGCUCAACCCUGGAAGUGCACUUGAAACAGCAAGACUUGAGUACGGGAGAGGAAAGCGGAAUUCCUGGUGUAGAGGUGAGAUUCGUAGAUAUCAGGAGGAACACCGAUGGCGAAGGCAGCUUUCUGGACCGAUACUGACGCUGAGGCGCGAAGGCGUGGGUAGCGAACGGGAUUAGAUACCCUUGUAGUC
rnacentral:rRNA from 1 species